CACACAAAUAAAACAUAAGAUUAAAAAGUAAUUCAAGCUUUAUUAUUUUUAAUUUUAGUUUCAUUGGACUCUUUCGAGGAUAAGCUCGAAAGUUGUUGUUGAGAAUCAUAUUAUUUAAAAUCGUUGUGUGGGCCUAAAAUUAGCCAUUACAAGAGUUUGUUAUAAAAUAACGAAGCGUGAAACUAAAAAUAUUACUAUAUGUAUAUUCCCUAAAAACUUAUAAGAACAAUAAUCUUAACUAAAAGAUUAAUAUGCCUAUGCUAGUAUGAGUAUUAUAAAGUGUAUAUAUUGAAUAAACCAAUAUCCCUAGAAAAAUAUCUUUUAAAAAAAUUAAAGAAAAGGAACUCGGCAAAUAUUGUUUCGCCUGUUUAUCAAAAACAUGGCUCUUUGAAAAAAACAUAUAAAGAGUCGAACCUGCCCAGUGAAAUUUUUUAACGGCCGCGGUACCCUGACCGUGCAAAGGUAGCAUAAUCAUUUGCCUUAUAAUUGAAGGCUGGCAUGAAUGGUCUGACGAAAACAAUACUGUCUCUUCUUUAUUUUCUAGAAAUUAACUUGUAAGUGAAGAGGCUUACAUUAAAUUGAAGGACAAGAAGACCCUGUCGAGCUUAAAAACAAAGUAGAUGUUAUUUAUUUAAAAAAUCAAUUAGCUAUAUUAAUAGUUUUUUAGUUGGGGCGACGAAGGAACAAGCAAAGCUUCUUUUAUUUUUGUAAGUCUACAGAUUUAGAUCCAGCAAAGCUGAUCAAAGGAAUUAGUUACCGCAGGGAUAACAGCAUAAUCUCCUUCAAGAGACCUAAUCGAAAAGGGGGGUUGUGACCUCGAUGUUGGACUAGAAUAUCCUGGAGAUGCAGACGUCU
rnacentral:rRNA from 1 species